rnacentral:rRNA from 1 species
AGCUCAAAUAGCGUAUAUUAAAGUUGUUGCAGUUAAAAAGCUCGUAGUUGGAUCUUGGGAUGCCCUUGGCAGUCACGUAGAGAAGGUGAACGAGCCCCUACGCGCACUGACCCUGGGGUCCUUUCUGGCGAGGGGGCCGCCGAGGGGUGGCCCUGCGGAUAGCAGUAACCAGUGCCCUUAGCCGGGUAGCUGGCUGCACUCGCCUCAUUUACUUUGAAAAAAUUAGAGUGUUCAUAGCAGGCUGAAGCUGGCCUGAAUGGUUGUGCAUGGAAUAAUGGAAGAGGAUCUCGGAUCCAUUCUGUUGGUCUCUGGAAACCCCGAGAUAAUGAUUAAGAGGGACAAACGGGGGCAGUCGUACUGGGGCGCGAGAGGUGAAAUUCUAGGACCGUCCCAAGACGAA